rnacentral:lncRNA from 1 species
AAGCAAUUUGCUCAUAGCCAUAGCUUUCUUGUGAAAGUAGGAUAUUAACCCAGGUGUCUUGGUGCUGGAGAACAGAACUGGCCAGAGUCCAUCCUGUCUCCCACCGGCAUCCCAUUACGAAAUGAACACAGAAAAGGCAGGUCUGCAAUGCCAACAUCUAGUAUCUAUCCCAAAGACCAGGGAGAAAGGAAGGAAAGAUUCUGGUUCUGUCCUCUUCCCCAAGGCAAGGCUGGCUGCCCUACCAACAGAGGCAAAGAGAAGAGUGUGCAAGGCUGGCUGCCCUCCCAACAGAGGCAAAGAGGAGUGUGUGUUGAAAUAUCCAUUGAAUCCCUGAGACAACUGGAUCCUGGCCCAUUGAAUCAUAAACUCAUUUCAGAGAAGAUGAAACUGAUGUGCGUCAAAAAGCUGGUAGUCUGUCAAGGAAAUGAGCUGAACAUGUCUGUGUACAGCUUUUGUGCCAUCCCUGGAUGAGCGAGCUGUCUGCCUCUAUGUUCUCCACAAAAUGGAAUAUAGCUGUACACCCAAGCCAAGUUAUGGAGGCUGGGAAGACCUAGAAUGUGGCAUCACUAUUUGCUGAAAUUUUUAAUAUAAUGCCUCUUAGCCUGGUUUGGAGAAAACGUCACAGAGAGGCACCAUUUGUUGUGGUUUUACAUGAAAAUUUUCUGACCCUGAACCUGGUUUGAUGGAAAUCAUUUGCUGAGGUAAUUAUCUCAAAUUAACUACCAAGCUGAUGAAUCGCUUACUACUUAAAAGCUGUGAUGGGGAGAGGAGUAAUUGAGAGCGGCCUUGUUGGGAGGGGAUGUGGACAUUUUUUUUUUCAGCAGCCAAUCAACUUAGAGGUUUUUUUUUGUUUUGUUUUGUUUUGUUUUUGUCUUGUUUUUUUUUCUGUGUAGAAUCUGAAUGUAUUGUCACAAGGUGAACACCAG